AUACUUACCUGGCAGAGGAGAUACCAUGAUCACAAAGGUGAUUUUCCCAGGAUGAGAUGCAUCCAUAACACUCUGGAUGUGCGCACGCCUGUGACGUCCCCAAAUGUGGGACACUCCACUGCAUACUUUGUGGUAGUUAGGGACUGUUUGCGCUUUCCCCUGA
rnacentral:snRNA from 1 species